rnacentral:lncRNA from 1 species
GUUUGUGCACCCCUUUCUGUAAGACAUUGGUGCAUCAGCGUCAAAUCCUCCAACUCCGGCGACUUUUUUGUGGUCACAUAGCGACUCAAAUGUGACUUUUUGUUAUUUGACUCACUGCUGGCGAUCGUGAGGCGUCUGCAUGUGACUGUGUGUGCAUGUCUGGCCAGCCAAGAACAACAGGGUACAAAACAAUAUGCACAAAGAGACGCUCCUGCUGUGCUGAGUUCAGGGUGUGGGACCCUGUAAGGGCCACGCCAGUCCGCUCAAUAAAGGAAGAAGAAUGCAGGCAGUCAGGCAGACAGGUGCUGACACCCAUGAUCAGCACCUAUGAAAGCACAGUGUGUUUGUUGGCCUAAAACCAAUCCUAAAUAUGUAGCUCAUUCACAAGACUGCAGUAAACACCAGCAGGGUGUUUGUUUGGCUUCUUAUACACUACAGGCCAAAAGUUUGGGAGCGAGAUCAGAUUUGUACAAAAAAAAAAAAUCAUAGUUCCAUAUAUAUAAUUUGCAACACAAUAAACAUGACUAUUGUGUAAAAGAGUAACUUAUCAGAAGACAUUUUGACUAUAAUUAUUGGGUAUUUGAGUUAUUGUUGCUUAGACUUUGCUUUCUUUAAAGUAACCUCCUCUGGCUUUAACAACAGCUCGGCAUAUACCAGGCAUUCGUUCCACAAGUCUUCUAAGGUAUGUUCCGGGGAUUACAUUCCAAGCUUUCUUAAGUUCAUUAACUAACCUUUCUCUUCUUUUUUGUCUAGGUAUCCCUGACAGAGCUUGGCAGAGUGCUUAGGGUCAUUGUCUUGCUGAAAAACAAACUUAUGAGCCACAAGUCUGAGCCCAGAUGGAACAGCAUGGUGCUGGUGGAUGGAGUGGUACUGUUCUUUCUUCAUGAUACCCUUUACUUCAAACAAAUCUCCUACUCCAUCACCUGCAAAACAUCCCCAUACCAUGGAACUACCACCUUCAUGCUAAAUUGUGGGUGUAACACAUGGUGCUUUCAGACGUUCACCAGUUUGUCUGCGGACAUAGACUGUGUUUUGAACCAAACAGUGCAAACUUGUUUCUAGUCAUCAUCGGUCCAAUUUUUGUGAGCUUUUGUCCACUCAUAUCUCUUUGUCUUGUUCUGUGGACGAAGUAGUGUUUUUUUGCAGAUACACAACCCUUCAGACCAGCCUUUCUCAAAUGUCAUUUCACGGUUGUCAGAGAUAUGGGUUUCGAACUUAUGUUGAUUUCCUCCCUUAUUUGUGGUGCUGUCUUUUGCCGAUCUCUCUCACUGGUGACAAUGCUAUGUUUCUUAUCCUCUGCUUUUGUAGUAACUCUCUUUUCUCUGGACUUUGUUAAACACCUUUAGGCGUUUUGCAGUUUCUCUUUCUGUGUAUCCUUCUUUCCUCAAUGUACAAAUCUGUACUUUUGUAACUUUACUCAGUUGCUUCUUUCUAGCCAUUUUUGCGGUAGUUUGAACGCAGUUGAGAUUUAUUAGGAUUUUUGUAUGUAAAAUGGUGCAUUUCCAUGAAAGCAACAUCUGAUCAUGGAGUAAAUACAUCCCAAAAUACAUAAAGCUCACGCUGGAUUUUAAAAAAAGCAUUGUGAACAAAAACUUGAAGUGACUCCCAACUGUUCGGCCUGUAAUGGCCUUGCUUUCAAACUUUUGGCCUGUAGUGUACGUGUAAAAUUAACGUAAUAGACAUUAGGCCUGACCGAACAACAAAGACUUUGCUGGUCUGUAUCUGUCAGCACAGAAGACCAGAGGACCAAGAUAGUCCGCUGUAAGCGGCAGCAACAAAGUCUGACCUUAAAGGGAUAUUCCGGGGUAAAAUCAAUUCAGAGUCAAACACACCCCUUGCUUCUCUAGUUAUACCAACUUUAGUGACGACUGCAGGAUAGCAGUACACAACGGUCUGAGGAGCCAUAAACAAACCUCAACCAAAACGCCACUCUAUAGCCUUUAGCCCUCUAUGCUUGUAGACUCUUCAUAUGUAUCUAUGAACCAAGAAAUGUCAUACUUUGUAAACUAAACUCUGCCCCAGGCUGUCCUUCAUCGUCACAUCUCGAGGGAUGCAUCUCUACCUUUAGCUCUUGUCCUUUAGCUCGAGUAACCUCACUGAUUGUGAUUCUCUGUGGUUGAACCAACAGAGACCCGAGUCUCACACUUGUUACCGAGGACCCCAGACCCGCUGUUUGCUGACUUUCAUCCUGUUAACCCAAGCUCCAGAUCUGCUGUAUGGCUCCCCUAAGGCUUCAAUUCCUCGUUCAGUGAAUCUCUUGUUCUGCUCUAGAUACUUUCUCUGCUGCUUGUCUAAACUCUUACAAAGAAAUGUGAAGCAGCCUUGCAUAACCUUGACCCCAGAAGAAUGCGUUAUCAGUCUCUCUGGUAUGUCUGAGGCCUCUGGAUCACUUUUAUUACUUCCUCCAAGUUGCAGUUUGUAAAUGUCAAAAAACCGGUCUGAAUUGAUAACAGAAGUUCCUACAUAUUUUACUCAGUGUGGUGUAGGAGUCCAGGAGUUUUAAGAGCUUCUUUCUUUUAAUGUUUCUUUUUAUCUGGAUUCGAUCAUUAACAUAACUCAACCUCUCAUCAUUGAUGGCUGGCGAAAAACGCUGCUUUACAAACGUGCACAGAAACUCCCUCAAAUUUAUAGAUUGGGCUACAUGUGUGAACACAAACAGCUAAGUAUCAUUUUUUUGUGACUUUGCACUGCAUUCGUUCGUCUUCUUCCGCUUCAUGCGGGUCCGGGUCGCGGGGGCAGCAACUUCAGGAGGGAAGCCCAGACGGCCCUCAUCCCGGCCACUUCCACCAGCUCCUUCGGGGGGAUUCCCAGGCGCUCCCAGGCCAGGCAAGAAAUAUAAUCCCUCCACCUGGUCCUGGG